CACCGCUGCCAGCCAAACAGAAGCAGCAGAAUACGGUCGUUAGUGUCAGUUGAGAUUUCGGCUCGAGUCAACAACUGUGCAUAAAAUUGGAGGCUGCUGCGCAGUGAAAAGGAAAGAUGGCCAGCUCUUUUCCGGGAAAACCAGGUUUCUGCAGAAUACCGUUGCAUCAACAACCAGCGGCUGAGAGUUGAAGUGUAUACUGCAUUGUUUGCUAGCUGUAGCCAGAGAGAUGCAGGGAGAAUUGGGCGGAAGUGCCCAGAAGAUCUCUUCUCCAUUGAAGAAGCAAACUCAGCAAACACAAGAGAAAAUUGUGGAGCAGACUGUAGUUCUUCGAUGUCUACCAGUGCUGCUGCAAGAAGAGGACACAGAGCUGUCCUACACCUGCAAGGCACCAUGGAGUGACACAGUCAGAAGUGAAGUACAUCUCCUCCCAGCCCCGAGAGACAAGAGAGCCUGAUGGGUGAUAAAAUACAUCAAAACCACUGAGUUGAAAAACUGUCAACUACACCCUUGCUUGAAGCUGACGUGUCUAAAAGCACAUGCAUGACUGAGGCAUAGUAAUAAUAUUUCAAUGAAAGAUGUGCGGCCUGAGUAAAGGGCACACUGAAUUUACCAUCCAAUAAGCUGUAGAAGAGUUGCAUUACGGGUGAGGAAUGAAUAAAAUAAAAUAAGAAAAGAGAUUCUCACCCGAAGCAGUGCAACACAAACUUUUUUUGUGUUUCCUGGAGUAUAAAGAUGGA